rnacentral:lncRNA from 1 species
ACACAUUUCAACCUCAAGUUAAUUCACCUCAACCAGAACCGACACCGGUUAACGCACUACCACCACAAGUUAAACCAUCUCCGGUUAACACACUUCAACCUCAAGUUAAUUCACCACAGGUUCAACCAUCUUCGGUUAACACACUUCAAUCUCAAGUUAAUUCACCACAGGUUCAACCAUCUCCGGUUAAAACACUACGACCACAAGUUAUAAAUUCACCACAGCCAGAACCGUCUCCGGUUAAGAGACUCUCACCUCAAUUUAAUUCACCACAGGUUCAACCAUCUCCGGUUAACAUACUUCAACCUCAAGUUAAUUCACCACAGGUUCAACCAUCUCCGGUGAAAACACUACGACCACAAGUUAUAAAUUCACCACAGCCAGAACCGUCUCUGGUUAAGAGACUCUCACCUCAAGUUAAUUCACCACAAGUUCAACCAUCUCCGGCUAAAACACUACAACGACAAGUUAUAAAUUCACCACAACCAGAACCAUCUCUAGUUAACGCACUACCACCUCAGAUUAAUUUACCACAAGUUCAACCAUCUCCGGCUAACGCACUGCCACCUCAAGUUAAUUCACCGCAACCAAAACCGUCUCCGGUUAACUCACCCUCACCUCCAGUUAAUUCACCACAACCAGAACUGUUUCCGGUUAACGUACUACCACCUCAAGUUAUAAAUUCACCACAACUUCAACCAUCUCUGGUUAACGCACGACCGGUUAAUUCAGGUCAACCAUCUCCGGUUAACGCACUACCACCUCAGGUUAAUAUUUCACCUCAACCAAAACCGUUUCCGGUUAACUCACUCUCACCUCCGGUUAAUUCACCACAACCAGAACCGUCUUUGGUUAACGCACUACCACCUCAAGUUAAUUCACCACAAGUUCAACCAUCUUUGGUUAACUCACAAUCCCCUCCAUUUAAUUCUCCGCAAUUAGAACCACCUUCAGUUAAGAUACUGUC